UUUCGAAUCAUUCACAAUGGGCGAAAGCCUGAUGGUGCGACGCCGCGUGAGGGAUGAAGGCCUUCGGGUUGUAAACCUCUGUCACCGGGGAAGAAACGCUGCAUUUUAAUAGAAUGCAGCCUGACUUAACCCGGAGAGGAAGCAGUGGCUAACUCUGUGCCAGCAGCCGCGGUAAUACAGAGACUGCAAGCGUUAUUCGGAUUCACUGGGCGUAAAGGGUGCGCAGGUGGCUAGGUGUGUUAGGCGUGAAAGCCCGGGGCUUAACCCCGGAAUUGCACCUAAAACUACUUGGCUAGAGCAUUGGAGAGGGGAGCAGAAUUCAUGGUGUAGCAGUGAAAUGCGUAGAUAUCAUGAGGAAUACCAGAGGCGAAGGCGGCUCCCUGGACAAUUGCUGACACUCAGGCACGAAAGCGUGGGGAGCAAAAGG
rnacentral:rRNA from 1 species